rnacentral:lncRNA from 1 species
UCUUUAAGUCGCAGAAUCGUGAAGAGCGGAGCAAUGGAACAGGACCGCCACCCACUAGCGGGGGUUUUCAAUCAAGUUGGUGACCUGCAGUUUUGGCUGAUUUCAAGGUGGGUUGUCGCUUUUCCUUUCUCUGGUAGUCUUCCGAUUUGGCUGAAUCUUCGGUAGUGGAAUGGGCGUGGUCGGAGCCUCGUAGAUUGAAGUUCGGCUUUUCUGAGCGACUGUAUGUUGCCAUUUUUUCUUCAUGGAGGUUUUCUGGUGUGGUAAGUUCCUCUGUAGUCGAAUGGGUGUCGGAUGGAACCUGCAGAAUGGAGAUCAUCCCGUUUUGUCCGGCUUGGGGGUCUUGUUUCUCACGGAGUGUUGCACUGUAUCGAUGUUUUUUCCUUGCUGAGAAUGGAGAUCACCACUGUUUUGAUCAGUCUUGGGGCUCUAUUUUUAACGAAGUGUUUGCACUGAACCCCUGUUCUUCCCUUGCUGAGAUAAUAGGUGGAAUUGAGGGUGAAAUACCACAAUUCAUUGUCAAUCCUGCAAUUCCAACCACAGAGCUCCCUUCAAUCCGUCACAAUUUUCUAUAGCAAAUUAACCUUAGUCAAAAUCAGCACCUGCAGACCUGGAAAUGGAAGGGGCAGAAGAGAAUGAAUUGCGUCUAGCAGCUUUAUGUAAAAGCCUAGGACAUUUGUGGUCGGAGAAUGAUAUAGUGGAAGUGAUUAAAGAUAUUCCCCCUGAAAAAAGAGCAGAAUGUAAUCGAACCCUCUUCGGAAAACUCUUUUCCAAACCUAAUGUCAACUUCCCAGCGUUAUGUCAAACUAUGAAGACAGCAUGGAAAGCAAACUCUGUGAUAUGCACACAAAAGGAACUAGGUUUGUUCUCUUUCCUUUUUCAGUCGGAGGAGGAAAAAGAGAGAGUAUUGAAGUCAGGGCCAUGGUCAUUCAACAGCAACCUAUUAGUUCUCAAACAAUGCGUACCUGACAUCCCAGAGCACUGUUAUGAUUACACUUGCGGUGCUUUUUGGGUGCGCAUUGGAGGGAUUCCCCCUGGAUGGCUAUUAAAUGAAGUCUUUAACGAUCUAGCAAAAAAGGUGGGCAAAGUUCUGGAGAUUCAAGUGGACCCAAAGGGCAGUGGACUACAGAAAAGUGGCAGAGUACGUGUGGAAGUGGACCUAUCAGCUCCUCUAAAAUCAGGAGCCAUCUUGGAUAUCGGAAACAAAAAGCUCUGGGUGGAAUUCAAAUACGAAAGACUGCCCCAUUAUUGCUAUUCGUGUGGAAAAAUUGGCCAUUAUGCUACAAACUGUGAAGAAAUCCCAUAUGAACAAACUGCUUGGGCUGAAAACAAAGUGGGGAAAUACGGUCCAUGGCUCAAGGCGGAAGUGCAAGGUCAUAGCCCCUACUGGAACGCAUUCUAUGGAAAAUUAGAAGAUGAGUUCACUGUGGAAGAAACGGCAUUUGAAGUCCCACCUAUAACUUAUGAACUGAACCAAGUGGAUGGAGAUACAACUGAAAACACAGUAGCUCCAAAUUGCAACAAGAAGAGAGCAGAAAACUAUGAAGUGGGGGAACCACCAGAAAAAUCAGCAGACGCAACACGGAAAACCACAGAUCAUGGCAAACAGAUUGUAUGUUUCGAAGCAAACAAGCCAAUCCUAUCCAGGGUGGGGAAAAGCAGCAAAAAAAGUAUGAAAGUGCAUAAGGCAAAAAAACAGAAAUGUAUAGCAGAACAAAGCCCUCUUAUGAUUGAUGAUACGGAACUCUUGGAGACCCCAAUCCAGUUGAUUAAAGAUGGCAAUGAAUGGGCUGUGGUGGCUAGCCCUAAUAAGCCACCGACGACGACAUGAAAAUCAUAAGCUGGAAUUGUCAGGGGCUGGGCAAUCCCCUGACAUUCUAGGAGCUAAGAGCCCUUGUGGCUCUUGAAAGGCCCAACCUGGUCUUUUUAAUGGAAACAAAGAACAAAGCAACGAUGGUGGAGGGAAUAAAAAGGAGAUUGAAUUUCCAACAUCUGUUCUUAGAAGAUCCGGAAGGAAUUGCUGGAGGCUUAGCGGUAUUAUGGAGCGAAGAAGUGGUGUUAAAGGUAAAUGACAGCUCCAAAGAGUAUAUUGAUGUGGAUUGCAGAGAUCCAGUUAGUGGCUAUCAAAUGAGGAUAACCUUCCUUCAUGCUUCGACGCACUUUGGGGAGAGACUACAACUAUGGCAAAAGUUAAAGGAGAUUCAGUCUUCAAACUUUCUACCGUGGAUAUGUAUGGGAGACUUUAAUGAAAUAUUAUACGUUUGGGAGAAAGUGGGGAAAAGAGAGGCGGAUAACCAUAGAAUUGCAGCGUUUCGAGAUCUAUUAAAUGAGUGCUCCCUAAUGGAUAUGGAGAGCAAAGGGUGUGCCUACACUUGGUCCAAUAAUAGAGAGGGAGAGGCCCAUGUCAAAAAACGUUUAGAUAGAGCCUUAUGUACAAUGGAAUGGAGAAUUACCUUCCCUGCUGCUGAAGUACAGGCGCUACCAGCAAUCGGCUCAGACUAUAGCCCUCUCCUCUUGGUGUUGCAUC